rnacentral:rRNA from 1 species
AGACGUAGGGGGCGAGCGUUGUCCGGAAUCAUUGGGCGUAAAGCGCGUGUAGGCGGCUCGGUAAGUCUGCUGUGAAAGUCCAGGGCUCAACCCUGGAAUGCCAGUGGAUACUGCCGAGCUCGAGUCCGGAAGAGGCGAGUGGAAUUCCUGGUGUAGCGGUGAAAUGCGCAGAUAUCAGGAGGAACACCGAUGGCGAAGGCAGCUCGCUGGGACGUGACUGACGCUGAGACGCGAAAGCGUGGGGAGCAAACAGGAUUAGAUACCCUGGUAGUCCACGCCGUAAACGAUGGGCACUAGGUGUGGGGGGUGUCGACUCCCUCCGUGCCGACGCUAACGCAUUAAGUGCCCCGCCUGGGGAGUACGGCCGCAAGGCUAAA